UGUCAAUCAGGUAAAGACUGGUGGUACAGAGGAGAAAAAUGUGAGACUAUGGGCUCCACCAAGAACACCAUAUUUAUCACAGUUUUGUUUGCUACAGGAAUAUUUAUUUCUAUGCUAAUAGUGGCUCUUCUGAGUGUCCGCCAUGUUAAGAAGAAAUACAGAAAAAGGAGUAAAGCCAAUACCUUAAAAAAUAAUAAUGUUCCUGAAAUCCGGUCUGAAGAUAUUAGACAGCAAUAACAACAAUGACAAAAAUAAUAGGAAAAUACAUUGCUUCUUCAUCAUGGAUUCAUCUAGAAACAAAUUUCAGCUGUGACAAAUGAUUUUUUUGUAACCUAUAAUUACUUUUUUUUCCUGCUGAAAAAUAUUGGAAAUAGUGAAUGGAUUUUUUUUUCCUUUUUGUACAGUCAUUCAAUUUCUGUGUCAUUUUGGUUCUUGUGAUAUAUUUGGAAGAGGUCCCUCGAGCUGUUUAUGAGGGAAUUCCCUGCCCUUCACAGCCCUUCAGAAGUUUCAAAUCAAGUUGCUAACCCUUGAGGUGUGGGUACUGUCACCUCCCCACAUCAUAACCACUAUGUCAUUUGGAGUCAUUCCUAUGCUUCCUUUGGCUACAAAUCUCCUAUCUCUCUGGCACUUAAGAAACAAUGAGUAGUGCUGGAUUUGGCAUCAGGGAAUAUGGGUUUGAAAGCUGUCUCUGCUACUUUACUAUCUUUGUAACCUUGGACAAGUGCUCCUCUGGGGGCUUCAGUUUCUUUACCUCCAGAAUGACAAUGUUGUACUCUUUCCCACUUCAUAUCCAAUCAGUUAAUAAGCUCUGUUGCAUCCAUUUCUGAAAAAUCUCUUAUCCUUCUUUCUAUGAACAUAGCCCCAACUAUGUAUACAAUAUGUAUACUUAAUUCAUCUGAUUGAAUUAUGGUAGUAAAAUCUUUCCAGGUUUCCUCCAAUUCAUCCUUCACAACUUUCUGUAGAAUUUUUCUUAUGUAUAAAUAUGGUUAUUCCACUUCUCUCAGUAAAAAUCUUUCUUGUCUCCUGAAUCCUCUGUUUAUUCUCCUCUGCUUGGUAUUCAAGCCCUACCACAACCUGUCACUACCAUACCUUCUCAGACUUACUUUGAAUUUUUCAUUUUUAAGCAUUGCCAUUCAAUUCCAGCCAAAAUGAUGAUCUUUGACUCUCUACACAAUCACAUGCCUCCAGAAAUUUACUCAAGCAAUUUUCUAAACCUAGACUAUAUUUUUUCCCUCAUUUUCAUCUAUUGAAAUUCCACCCACCCCUUAGAAUAGUGGUAUUAAAAUAAAAAAGAAAUGGGGGCCAUUAAAACUAUAAAAAGAGAUGCCUUUGGGCUACAUGAGGACUUAGAAAACCACAUUAAUAUUAUCUAUUUUAUUGUAUUUUUAUUUAUUUUGUUAAAUAUUUUCCAAUUAAAUUUUAAUCUGGUUCAGUUUUGUGCACAGAUCUUUGUUUUAAAGCAUCACCACACUCAUUUGUGACUUUGCCUCUUGGAUGCCACAGAGCUGUUUGCACAACAAUGUAAUUAUCCAGCUAUCAAAUGCAAUUAUCAUGUACUCAUUGGUUUUUCUGGCCAUCUCUGAUAAUGUUAUAUUCCUUCACUAGAUUGUAAACUCUAUGGGGCAAGAACUAUAAUUUGUCUAAAUUUGGUAUCAGCCCCAUACAAUGCUUUGCACUAAAUAGAGAGUAAAUAAAUGCUUGUUGCUGUCA